UCCUCCGUGGCGCAAUUGGCUAGCGCGUCUGACUGUUACGGGUAGUCGAUCGAUGCCAGAGCAAUCAGGAGGUUGACAGUUCAAGCCUGUCCGGGGGAG
rnacentral:tRNA from 1 species